rnacentral:rRNA from 1 species
UCUUAUGUACAUACUUACAUCAUAACAUUAAUGCACCAAAUCCCAUUAUAACUCCACAGUUAAGUGUGCUUGGGCUAGAGUAGUAUUGGGAUGGGUGACUUCCCAUUAAGUCCUAGUGUUUUAAAUGC